rnacentral:rRNA from 1 species
GACGAACGCUGGCGGCAUGCCUAAUACAUGCAAGUCGAACGAACCAUCCUGAAGAUUGAAGCUUGCUUCAUGAUUCAGACCUUGGUGAGUGGCGGACGGGUGAGUAACACGUGGGUAACCUGCCCAAAAGUGGGGGAUAACAUCUGGAAACAGGUGCUAAUACCGCAUAACAACUACUUUCUCAUGAUCGUAGCUUGAAAGAUGGCUCUGCUAUCGCUUUUGGAUGGACCCGCGGCGUAUUAGCUAGUUGGUGAGGUAAUAGCUCACCAAGGCAAUGAUACGUAGCCGACCUGAGAGGGUAAUCGGCCACAUUGGGACUGAGACACGGCCCAAACUCCUACGGGAGGCAGCAGUAGGGAAUCUUCCACAAUGGGCGAAAGCCUGAUGGAGCAAUGCCGCGUGAGUGAAGAAGGUUUUCGGAUCGUAAAACUCUGUUGUUGAAGAAGAACAUGCGUGAGAGUAACUGUUCACGUACUGACGGUAUUCAACCAGAAAGCCACGGCUAACUACGUGCCAGCAGCCGCGGUAAUACGUAGGUGGCAAGCGUUGUCCGGAUUUAUUGGGCGUAAAGAGAAUGUAGGCGGUUUAUUAAGUUUGAAGUGAAAGCCCUCGGCUCAACCGAGGAAGUGCUUCGAAAACUGGUAAACUUGAGUGCAGAAGAGGAAAGUGGAACUCCAUGUGUAGCGGUGGAAUGCGUAGAUAUAUGGAAGAACACCAGUGGCGAAGGCGGCUUUCUGGUCUGUAACUGACGCUGAGAUUCGAAAGCAUGGGUAGCAAACAGGAUUAGAUACCCUGGUAGUCCAUGCCGUAAACGAUGAGUGCAAAGUUGUUGGAGGGUUUCCGCCCUUCAGUGCUGCAGCUAACGCAUUAAGCACUCCGCCUGGGGAGUACGAUCGCAAGAUUGAACUCAAAGGAAUUGACGGGGGCCCGCACAAGCGGUGGAGCAUGUGGUUUAAUUCGAAGCAACGCGAAGAACCUUACCAGGUCUUGACAUACCAUGAAAAGCUAAGAGAUUAGUCUUUCCCUUCGGGGACAUGGAUACAGGUGGUGCAUGGUUGUCGUCAGCUCGUGUCGUGAGAUGUUGGGUUAAGUCCCGCAACGAGCGCAACCCUUAUUAUCAGUUGCCAGCAUUCAGUUGGGCACUCUGGUGAGACUGCCGGUGACAAACCGGAGGAAGGUGGGGACGACGUCAAAUCAUCAUGCCCCUUAUGACCUGGGCUACACACGUGCUACAAUGGUCGGUACAACGUGCUGCGAACUCGCGAGGGUAAGCAAAUCACUUAAAACCGAUCUCAGUUCGGAUUGUAGGCUGCAACUCGCCUACAUGAAGCUGGAAUCGCUAGUAAUCGCGGAUCAGCAUGCCGCGGUGAAUACGUUCCCGGGCCUUGUACACACCGCCCGUCACACCAUGAGAGUUUGUAACACCCAAAGUCGGUGGGGUAACCCUUCGGGGAACUAGCCGCCUAAGGUGGGACAAAUGAUUAGGGUG